rnacentral:lncRNA from 1 species
GUUCUCAACUAUUCUACUUUCUAGAAAACUCAUCUAUUAUUUAGGAGAGAGAAACAUGAAACAACCUGGAGACCAUCAGAGCCUUGGUGUUUUUAUUUGAAACUUCUUGACCUGUAGAACUCCCAAAUGGUAGGGAAUUACUUGAAAUUUGGCACAAAUUUAUCAAAGAGAAUAUAUUCCCAGAGCAACACUUUAUUUUCCGUAUUUUUAUUUGUGCAUUGUAGUUGUAUAUAAUGGUAGAAUUUGUUGUUACAUAUUUAUACAUGCAUACAGUAUCACAAUAUAAUUUGGCCAAUAUCAUUCCCUAGUAUUUCCUCUUCCCCUCCACUCCUCUCUCUUCUUGGUCCCUUUCCUCUUCUCUACUGAUUUUCCUUUGAUUUUUAUGAGUUCUCACCACCUUUCUCAUCCUUUUUCCUGUCUGACUUCUAUAAAAGAAACAAGCCCCUUAAUCUUUGAAUUUGGCUUAUUUUGCUUGACAUAAUGUUCUCAAGUUCCAUCCAUUUUCCUGCAAAUGACAUAAUUGUAUUUUUCUUUAUGGCUGAAUAAAAUUCUAUUGUGUGUGUGUGUGUGUGUGUGUGUGUUUGUGUAUACAUAUAUACAUAGCACAUUUUAUUUAUCCAUUCAUCCAUUUAUGGACACCUAAGCUGGUUCCAUAGUUUGGCUAUUUUGAACUGUGCUGGUAUAAACAUGGGAAUGUUUGUAUUUCUAUGCUAUGAUGAUUUUAAUUCUUUUUUAAAAAAUAUUUUAUUAGUUGUUGGUGGACCUUUAUUUUUAUGUGGUGCUGAGAAUCGAACCCAGUGCCUCACACAUGCUAGGCAAGCACUCUACCACUGAGCCAGAACACCAGUCCUGAUGACUUUAAUUCUUUAAGAUAAAUAUCCAGGAGUGGUAUAGCUGAGUUAUAUGGUAAUUCCAUUCCUAGUCUUGUGAGGAACCUCUGUACUGAAUUGUAUAGUGGUUGUACUAAUU